AUGUAUUAAUUGAAUCCAUUGAGACAAUAAGCUAUUGUUUAAGUCUAAACUUGACAAACAAUUCAUCAAAACAAGACAUAUAGAAAUGACUUUAGUCAAGAUAGCGUUUGCAGUGAUCUUUUCUGCUAUAAUAGUUUGCAAUGCGCUUGAUUUUACAAGGAUACCAAGAAUGACAACUCCGGGUGAAUGUCAUGAAAGUGAUGAAUGCAACUUAGUUUUACCUAAUUGCAAAGGAAGAGCAAUUUGUGACAAUGGUAUUUGCAUGUGUGUUGAGAACAAAUCAAGCUCGAAACAAGAGUGUCAAACAAACACUGAUUGUGAGUCUCAUUGUCUUCCACCAUGUGAUAUUCCAUAUUGUGAUAUAAAAAAUGCUGUAUGUAAAUGCUUUUGUUAGGCGAGUAACAUGUGUUGAGAUCUGAUUAAUAAAGAUGUAAUUGGAAAUAACUUUACAUCUAUGGUUAUGAAUAAAAAAGUUUAAUGAUUAAUUAGCAA